GGCUACCUACGGGGCGCAGCAGUGAGGAAUAUUGGUCAAUGGGCGGGAGCCUGAACCAGCCAAGCCGCGUGAAGGAAGAAGGCGCCAGGCGUCGUAAACUUCUUUUGUCGGGGAACAAAGGGCGCCACGCGUGGCGUUGUGAGUGUACCCGAAGAAAAAGCAUCGGCUAACUCCGUGCCAGCAGCCGCGGUAAUACGGAGGAUGCGAGCGUUAUCCGGAUUUAUUGGGUUUAAAGGGUGCGUAGGCGGACAGUCAAGUCAGCGGUAAAAAUGCGGUGCUCAACGCCGUACAGCCGUUGAAACUGG
rnacentral:rRNA from 1 species